rnacentral:rRNA from 1 species
UACAGAGGGGGCAAGCGUUGUUCGGAAUUACUGGGCGUAAAGGGCGCGUAGGCGGCCCGCUAAGUCGAACGUGAAAUCCCCGGGCUCAACCCGGGAACUGCGUCCGAUACUGGUGGGCUUGAAUCCGGGAGAGGGAUGCGGAAUUCCCGGUGUAGCGGUGAAAUGCGUAGAUAUCUGGAGGAAUACCGGUGGCGAAGGCGGCAUCCUGGACCAUUACUGACGCUGAGGCGCGAAAGCUAGGGGAGCAAACGGG